rnacentral:tRNA from 1 species
GCGGGCGUAGCUCAGUUGGUAGAGCACUUCCUUGCCAAGGAAGAUGUCGAGAGUUCGAGUCUCUUCGCCCGCUCCA